UACAGAGGGUGCAAGCGUUAAUCGGAAUUACUGGGCGUAAAGCGUGCGUAGGCGGUUAUCUAAGUCGGGUGUGAAAUCCCCGGGCUCAACCUGGGAAUUGCAUUCGAUACUGGAUAGCUAGAGUUCGGCAGAGGGAAGUGGAAUUUCAGGUGUAGCGGUGAAAUGCGUAGAGAUGUGGAGGAACACCAGUGGCGAAGGCGGGUCUCUGGACAGUUCCUGACGCUGAGGCACGAAGGCCAGGGAGCAAACGGGGAUUAGAAUA
rnacentral:rRNA from 1 species